rnacentral:tRNA from 1 species
GGUGAGUUGCCUCAGUGGUUAGAGCGUAGGUCUUGUAACCGAAAGGUUGCGGGAUCGAAUCCCGCUAGAGGCUG